rnacentral:miRNA from 1 species
CAGCAGACACAUUCCAGCCAAUCAGCAGCAGACCCUCCCUCCCACCUCCUGGACCGCAUCCAUUUUACAUUCUUUGUGAAGCUGCAUUCUUAGUGAGCUGUCCAGGAGGUGGGAGGGUCUGGGAGGGAGGGUCUGCUGCUGAUUGGCUGGAAUGUGUCUGCUG